AUAACACCUGGGAAACAGAUGCUAAUACCCGGAUAACAACAGAUGAUGCCUAUCAACUGUUUAAAGAUGGUUCUGCUAUCACUCUUGGAUGGACCUGCGGUGCAUUAGCUAGUUGGUAGGGGUAACGGGCCUACCCAAGGCGAUGAUGCAUAGCCCGAGUUGAGAGACUGAUCGGGCCACAUUGGGGACUGAGACACGGCCAAAACUCCUACGGGGAGGCAGCAGUAGGGAAUCUUCCACAAUGGACGCAAGUCUGAUGGAGCAACGCCGCGUGAGUGAAGGUAAGGGUUUCGGCUACGUAAAGCUCUGUUGUUGGUGAAGAAGGACAGGGGUAGUAACUGACCUUUGUUUGACGGUAAUCAAUUAGAAAGUCACGGCUAACUACGUGCCAGCAGCCGCGGUAAU
rnacentral:rRNA from 1 species